rnacentral:lncRNA from 1 species
AGCCCCGAAUUCCUGAGGUAGUUACCCCCUCAACGCAUCCAAAGCUGAAGUGCUCAUGGCAGUGCAAGAUAAGGAUUUCCUUCAAUGGCCUAAGCCCAUGAAAGCAGAUGCAAGCCAGAGGGAUCCUGACAAGUACUGCUAGUAUCACCGCACCCAUGGCCAUGACACCAACAGUUGCUACCAGUUGAUCAGUGAGAUUGAGAGACUGAUCAAGAGGGGGCACCUCCAAAACUUCAUGAAGAAAUUGGAAAGAGAAAGGCCCCAGCAAAAUGCCGCAACAGAGAGGCCCCGUAGACAGGGGGCAAGGCCCGUGAAUGACGGUUCCAGUGGAACCAUAAAUAUGAUUGUAGGUGGGACUGGAGGCCGGAUGAGCAGGAGAGGGAGGAAGAGAAGCCGAAGUGGG